rnacentral:rRNA from 1 species
CUACGUGCCAGCAGCCGCGGUAAUACGUAGGGCGCGAGCGUUGUCCGGAAUUAUUGGGCGUAAAGGGCUUGUAGGCGGUUGGUCGCGUCUGCCGUGAAAUCCUCUGGCUUAACUGGGGGCGUGCGGUGGGUACGGGCUGACUUGAGUGCGGUAGGGGAGACUGGAACUCCUGGUGUAGCGGUGGAAUGCGCAGAUAUCAGGAAGAACACCGGUGACGAAGGCGGGUCUCUGGGCCGUUACUGACGCUGAGGAGCGAAAGCGUGGGGAGCGAACAGGAUUAGAUACCCUGGUAGUCCACGCUGUAAACGUUGGGCACUAGGUGUGGGGGCCACCCGUGGUUUCUGCGCCGUAGCUAACGCUUUAAGUGCCCCGCCUGGGGAGUACGGCCGCAAGGCUAAAACUCAAAGGAAUUGACGGGGGCCCGCACAAGCGGCGGAGCAUGCGGAUUAAUUCGAUGCAACGCGAAGAACCUUACCAAGGCUUGACAUGC